ACACGCAUGACACACUGCAUAUCAAUAAGCGGAGGAAAAGGAAACUAACAAGGAUUCCCUUAGUAACGGCGAGUGAAGCGGGAAGAGCUCAAAUUUGAAAUCUUCAAGGUUCUACCUUGACGAAUUGUAGUUUAUAGAAGUGUUUUCUGUUAGUGGAGUGGCAAAAGUUCUUUGGAAUAGGACAUCAUAGAGGGUGAGAAUCCCGUAUUUGGUCAUUCUUCUAGCGUUGUGAUACACUUUCAAAGAGUCGGAUUGUUUGGGAAUGCAGUCCAAAAUGGGUGGUAAAUUUCAUCUAAAGCUAAAUAUUGGCGAGAGACCGAUAGCGAACAAGUACCGUGAGGGAAAGAUGAAAAGAACUUUGAAAAGAGAGUUAAACAGUACGUGAAAUUGUCAAAGGGAAGCGUUUGACACCAGUGUUGUUUUUCCGAAAAUCAAUUACGAAUGUUUUGUUUUCGAGGAGUUAUGACUUCAUCGGCUUGCUCCUUUCUUUAUGAAACUUUCUUAAUGCACUUUUCGGUUAACAAGUCAACAUCAAUUUCUUUUGUUGUAAAAGGGUAUGAGGAAGGUGGCUUUCUUUUCGGAGAAAGUGUUUAUAGCCUUGUGCCUCUGCAAUCGGAGAGAUUGAGGUCUGCAGCGUAGAUCCUUCGGGGUUAGAUACAUUUGUGCUAAGUUAUAGCUUUUCAUAGACAACUUGUUGACUAUGUUUAGUCUUGUAGCUUACUCGCUUAUGCUAUUUUACCUACGCUUAGGAUGUUGACGAGACUGUCGAUCUCAUCUACACAUGACUCUCUGCAUAUCAAUAAGCGGAGGAAAAGGUACCUACGCUUAGGAUGUUGACGAGACUGUCGAUCUC
rnacentral:rRNA from 1 species